rnacentral:rRNA from 1 species
GAUGGACGCUGGCGGCGUGCCUAAUACAUGCAAGUCGAGCGAACGGACGAGAAGCUUGCUUCUCUGAUGUUAGCGGCGGACGGGUGAGUAACACGUGGAUAACCUACCUAUAAGACUGGGAUAACUUCGGGAAACCGGAGCUAAUACCGGAUAAUAUUUUGAACCGCAUGGUUCAAAAGUGAAAGACGGUCUUGCUGUCACUUAUAGAUGGAUCCGCGCUGCAUUAGCUAGUUGGUAAGGUAACGGCUUACCAAGGCAACGAUGCAUAGCCGACCUGAGAGGGUGAUCGGCCACACUGGAACUGAGACACGGUCCAGACUCCUACGGGAGGCAGCAGUAGGGAAUCUUCCGCAAUGGGCGAAAGCCUGACGGAGCAACGCCGCGUGAGUGAUGAAGGUCUUCGGAUCGUAAAACUCUGUUAUUAGGGAAGAACAUAUGUGUAAGUAACUGUGCACAUCUUGACGGUACCUAAUCAGAAAGCCACGGCUAACUACGUGCCAGCAGCCGCGGUAAUACGUAGGUGGCAAGCGUUAUCCGGAAUUAUUGGGCGUAAAGCGCGCGUAGGCGGUUUUUUAAGUCUGAUGUGAAAGCCCACGGCUCAACCGUGGAGGGUCAUUGGAAACUGGAAAACUUGAGUGCAGAAGAGGAAAGUGGAAUUCCAUGUGUAGCGGUGAAAUGCGCAGAGAUAUGGAGGAACACCAGUGGCGAAGGCGACUUUCUGGUCUGUAACUGACGCUGAUGUGCGAAAGCGUGGGGAUCAAACAGGAUUAGAUACCCUGGUAGUCCACGCCGUAAACGAUGAGUGCUAAGUGUUAGGGGGUUUCCGCCCCUUAGUGCUGCAGCUAACGCAUUAAGCACUCCGCCUGGGGAGUACGACCGCAAGGUUGAAACUCAUAGGAAUUGACGGGGACCCGCACAAGCGGUGGAGCAUGUGGUUUAAUUCGAAGCAACGCGAAGAACCUUACCAAAUCUUGACAUCCUUUGACAACUCUAGAGAUAGAGCCUUCCCCUUCGGGGGACAAAGUGACAGGUGGUGCAUGGUUGUCGUCAGCUCGUGUCGUGAGAUGUUGGGUUAAGUCCCGCAACGAGCGCAACCCUUAAGCUUAGUUGCCAUCAUUAAGUUGGGCACUCUAAGUUGACUGCCGGUGACAAACCGGAGGAAGGUGGGGAUGACGUCAAAUCAUCAUGCCCCUUAUGAUUUGGGCUACACACGUGCUACAAUGGACAAUACAAAGGGCAGCGAAACCGCGAGGUCAAGCAAAUCCCAUAAAGUUGUUCUCAGUUCGGAUUGUAGUCUGCAACUCGACUACAUGAAGCUGGAAUCGCUAGUAAUCGUAGAUCAGCAUGCUACGGUGAAUACGUUCCCGGGUCU